CACGUAGGGCGCGAGCGUUGUCCGGAAUUAUUGGGCGUAAAGAGCUCGUAGGCGGCCUGUUGCGUCCGCUGUGAAAGCCCGGGGCUUAACCCCGGGUCGGCAGUGGAUACGGGCAGGCUAGAGGUAGGUAGGGGAGAAUGGAAUUCCCGGUGUAGCGGUGAAAUGCGUAGAGAUCGGGAGGAACACCUGCGGCGAAAGCGGCUCACUGGACCAUAACUGACGCUGAUGCACGAAAGCUAGGGGAGCAAACAGG
rnacentral:rRNA from 1 species